rnacentral:SRP_RNA from 1 species
GCUGGGCGUGGCGGUGCGUGCCUGUAAUCCCAGCUACUCGGGAGGCUGAGGCAGGAGAAUCACUUGAACCUGGGAGGUGGAGUUUGCGGUGAGCCAAAAUUUUGCCACUGCACUCCAGCCUGGGCCACAGAGUGAGACUCUGUCUCAA